CACACUGCAAACUGGAAACCCUCAGGCUCUCAGGGUGUCUCAUCACAAAGACUGGUGGUAACUAUCUGGCAAAAGCACUGAACUCCAACCACUCACACCUGAAGGAGUUGGACCUGAGCUUCAAUAAUCCAGGAGAUUCUGCAGUGAAUGUCCUUAUGGAAGGAUGGAAGAAUCCAGUCUGGGCUUUGAACAUUCUUAAGAUAAAACCACGAGGAUCCAAGUUCAUUAAACCUGGUCUAAAGAAGUGUAAGUAUAAAUGUAUUUAAAAAUCAAUAAUAAUAAAUACAUAUUUCUUCAAAGUUAGGACAUCUAGUCUUGCACCUGCCCAACAAUUAUAGGGACAUUUCAAAACCAUUGUGGUUCAGUGCUUCUAUUUCCUAUGCAUUAUAAUGACUAAAAGAAAAAAACAAAAAACAUUAAAGCCUUAGUCACAACUCCCCUUGCGGAUGAAAAAUGGUCCAACCUGUGCGGGGCAUGUAGUUGGUUCACAAGAAAUUUUAUAAAUCAACCCAGUGAGCCCGUAAGGAGAACAUGUUCUCUUAAGCAGCAAGUAAAAGGGGAGUAGGUGAGAUGCACGGGUGUCUUAUGGAUUAUUAUUUUUUCAUUUCCUUUGAAUCCUGCGCACCAUGCAUCGGGCAUUGGUGCUGUUCAAAGGAAAGGUGAAUGCUCUUUCCAUGCUUAUUGCA